rnacentral:rRNA from 1 species
UACGUAGGUGGCGAGCGUUGUCCGGAUUUACUGGGCGUAAAGGGAGCGUAGGCGGACUUUUAAGUGAGAUGUGAAAUACUCGGGCUCAACUUGAGUGCUGCAUUUCAAACUGGAAGUCUAGAGUGCAGGAGAGGAGAGUGGAAUUCCUAGUGUAGCGGUGAAAUGCGUAGAGAUUAGGAAGAACACCAGUGGCGAAGGCGAUUCUCUGGACUGUAACUGACGCUGAGGCUCGAAAGCGUGGGGAGCAAACAGG